rnacentral:lncRNA from 1 species
AUGAUUUCGUUGUACAAAAUUCAAUCAAAAUAAUAAUAAAACAUUAUUUCAAAUUAGAUAAAAUAAAAUACAAGUAUUUUGAUUGCUCACGAAGUAAAGAAUGCAACAAACAUAUUAAACAACAAAUUAACUCAAUAAAUUUGGAUCCACUACGGAGUCAUUUUGUUCGCAACGUCAUUGCUACAUUUAGUAGAAGAUCCAAAGCAAGUGCUUUGUCCAGAAGAAAAAAUGUAGUGCAAAACCUUGUUAGCAAAGCAAAGGAAAAGAAAAAGGAGACCAAUAAACAAAUCCACGUAUAUACACAAUAUCAAUUCCCAAUUUUUCCGCGGCUCUAAAGUAUGUAAAGAGUGUCAUUUCUUGUUUCACCUUUUUCGUUUCACAAAAGAAAAAUUGUCUUCAUAUCUGAUCUGUAAUAUAUCUUCAAGGUAAUCUCCAAGACUGUAGCCCAAUUUCAUUGUGUUUUCUGGAUGGACUUGAGGCUGGCACAGGGAUCCUUUUCGGUAAGCAGUUCAUAAAAUGGCCUGAAUUUUGAGAUUUGGGUUUGAUUUUGAAUACACGGGUGGUUCUUGAGCAAUUGCAAUGAACAGUGAUGAAGAUGAACAGCAGCAACAACCAAAGAAGAAGAAGAAAUUGAUUUCUACAGCAAUUACUCAUUAUGCAAAGCUAGAAUAUGCAAUUGAUGUGGCUUAUUUUUGAGGGUUCUGAAUCAGAAUGGUGUACUGCGUGCAUCAGAUUCUAGAGAGAGGAGAGAGAGUUUUCAAGAAAUGAGAAGCAAAUUUUCUUGUGGUAUAUCGUAUAAUAAUUUAAGAAGGCAGAAAGUUGAAAAGUUUGAGCGGUGAUUUUGAAUGAGUGUUACUGGUUACAGCCCUUAUAGAAAUAGAAUGGAUUUAAUGAUGUAAAGAGGUGACAGAAACAUAAAGAUUACUUAUUCUCUUCGCAAAUGUCAAAAAAAAAAAAAAAAAGGGGGUUUGAAUUGAAAUAUUACAAUAGGGAAAGUAAGAAGUAGUGUUAUGGUGUUUGGUCCCACCUCAUGUCAAUGGCCAACUAAGGUAUUGCCACCAAUCCAUUGUUUUAGCCCCACCUCACGCCACCCCCACCCAGAGACCAAUUCAAGAUCGAAGUCCAGCUAGGACGGAGGUUAAUUAUUGACCGUUAACCAUCGAUAAUUAACAUCGUAAUAAUCCGAUCGUUUAUUAAAAUUUGAUUAAAUAAUACUAAAAAUUAUUCAAUAUAUAUGUAAAUAAACUAAAACGUCAAAAUUAUAUACAUAUGAAAAUAUGUUGAAUUGAGUGACCAACAUCUUCUCAAUUAAAUUUUUUCAAUUUCCUAAAUAUAAAUUACCAAAUCG